UACAGAGGUCCCAAGCGUUGUUCGGAUUCAUUGGGCGUAAAGGGUGCGUAGGUGGCGCCGUAAGUCAGGUGUGAAAUCUCGGGGCUUAACUCCGAAACUGCAUUUGAUACUGCGGUGCUUGAGGACUGGAGAGGAGACUGGAAUUUACGGUGUAGCAGUGAAAUGCGUAGAGAUCGUAAGGAAGACCAGUGGCGAAGGCGGGUCUCUGGACAGUUCCUGACACUGAGGUGCGAAAGCGUGGGGAGCGAACCGG
rnacentral:rRNA from 1 species